AAAAAAUCAAAAAUGAAAAAAAAAAAAAGAUAGCAUAUAUAAAUUGCCUACAACAGAGCCUAGUCCAUAUAUCUGUGCAAUGUAAUUGGGUAGACUAGUUUUAAAGAAUAACAUUAAUUUUGUUUGAUCUCUUUUUCUCUCCCACAAUUUUUUCUACUUGUAUUAACAAGAAAGCAGCAUUUUUGUAAUCUGACAUUUUCUAGAUUCCAUAUGAUUAAUGCAAUUUUCAGCAAACUUUAUGGUUAAUUUCUCUAGCUUUUAUGACCAUCUAUGAUUAAUGCUUUCUUAGCUAGUAAUAAAUGUGAUAAUGUUAUGAGUUCUGUAACUUGAAGCAUUAUAAGUAGAACAAAAUGAGAUGAUUUAUGCAAUUAAAGACAGGUAGGACAGCCCACACUUGACCCCCAUUCAAAAAAUAUAAAAUAAUUUAAAAUAGGAGUGCAGGCCUGUUUAGAAGAGAAAAACACAUCAUGCAAAAAAAAGAAACUGUGCUUUAAAAAGGUUGUCUGAAACUUUUUACAAAAUACAGCAUGCUCAGUAACAACAUGGCUUUUUUUAGUCAGAUUUGCUUCAAGUGAGUCAUCGAAGUUCUCUGUGCCUCAAUUUCCUUUUCUGUUAAAUAAUAAUGGCAAUAUUUAAAGAUUAAAUGAUUAAUAUAUAAGCUAUAUAACUGUCAAGAGUAGUUAUUUCUCAACAGUUUGUUGUUAUUCUUUCGAGAUUCAUCCGGGUCCUGAGAACAAACAGAAAAAACUCAGCUAAGGAUAUGAAGAGAAUUUAAUGUUGGGGCUAUUUUCAGAGGUGUAGGGACCAAUAAGACCCAGGACUGUCAACAAUCAGAAGCCAUCAUUACAACAGGAUAUGUAGAGGUAUUAUCAUCAUUCCCCAGUUUUACAGAUGGAGAAACUGAGGAUCAGAAAAGUUGAGUAACUAGCCCACUGCGGAACUACUACUAUUCUGAAUACACAAUUGUUGAACUCAAAGUGCAUACUUUUCUCAUACAUGAAAAUUUUAUUAAUGUAAAAAAAAUCACAUGAAUAUUGUAUGCUAGAGCCUUUAAUAGAACACUGGAUCAUAUGUAGCAUGAAAAUCCAACCAACUAAUAAUUACCACUCAUUAGAUAAUUAGUGACAGUAUUGCUAAUUACAUUUCAACAUAGUUUCUGUAUGGUAAUAAAAAUGU
rnacentral:lncRNA from 1 species